UACGUAGGGUCCGAGCGUUGUCCGGAAUUACUGGGCGUAAAGCGCGCGCAGGCGGCCCGCGAGGUGUCACGUGAAAGCCCCGGGCUCAACCCGGGAGGGUCGUGGCAAACCGGCGGGCUUGAGGCCGGUAGAGGUGGGUGGAACUCCUGGUGGAGUGGUGAAAUGCGUAGAGAUCAGGAAGAACACCCGUGGCGAAGGCGGCCCACUGGGCCGGUACUGACGCUGAGACGCGAAAGCGUGGGGAGCAAACAGG
rnacentral:rRNA from 1 species